GAUGAACGCUAGCUACAGGCUUAACACAUGCAAGUCGCGGGACCGGCGCCCGGGUGAGUAACGCGUAUCCCACCCGCCCUUCACCACGGGAUAACCCGGCGCAAGUCGGACUAAUACCGUAUGGUGAAGGAUGGGGAUGCGUCGGCUUAGCUUGACGGCGGGGUAACGGCCCACCGUGGCUACGAUCGGUAGGGGUUCGGAGAGGAAGGUCCCCCACACUGGAACUGAGACACGGUCCAGACUCCUACGGGAGGAAGCAGUGAGGAAUAUUGGUCAAUGGGCGUAAGCCUGAACCAGCCAAGUAGCGUGCAGGACGACGGCCUAUGGGUUGUAAACUGCUUUUAUGCGGGGAUAGGUACCGCAUGAAUAAGGACCGGCUAAUUCCGUGCCAGCAGCCGCGGUAAUUC
rnacentral:rRNA from 1 species